UACGUAGGGGGCAAGCGUUGUCCGGAUUAUUGGGCGUAAAGAGCGUGUAGGCGGCCAGGUAGGUCAGCUGUGAAAUCUCGAGGCUCAACUUCGAGCUGUCGGUGGAAACUAUCUGGCUAGAGUCCGGAAGAGGAGAAUGGAAUUCCUGGUGUAGCGGUGAAAUGCGCAGAUAUCAGGAGGAACACCAAUUGCGAAGGCAGCUCGCUGGGACGUUACUGACGCUGAGACGCGAAAGCGUGGGGAGCAACAGG
rnacentral:rRNA from 1 species